GAUGAACGCUGGCGGCGUGCCUAAUACAUGCAAGUCGAGCGAACUGAUUAGAAGCUUGCUUCUAUGACGUUAGCGGCGGACGGGUGAGUAACACGUGGGCAACCUGCCUGUAAGACUGGGAUAACUUCGGGAAACCGAAGCUAAUACCGGAUAGGAUCUUCUCCUUCAUGGGAGAUGAUUAAAAGAUGGUUUCGGCUAUCACUUACAGAUGGGCCCGCGGUGCAUUAGCUAGUUGGUGGGGUAACGGCUCACCAAGGCAACGAUGCAUAGCCGACCUGAGAGGGUGAUCGGCCACACUGGGACUGAGACACGGCCCAGACUCCUACGGGAGGCAGCAGUAGGGAAUCUUCCGCAAUGGACGAAAGUCUGACGGAGCAACGCCGCGUGAGUGAUGAAGGCUUUCGGGUCGUAAAACUCUGUUGUUAGGGAAGAACAAGUACGAGAGUAACUGCUCGUACCUUGACGGUACCUAACCAGAAAGCCACGGCUAACUACGUGCCAGCCGCCGCCGUAAAAC
rnacentral:rRNA from 1 species